UACGUAGGGUGCGAGCGUUGUCCGGAAUUAUUGGGCGUAAAGAGCUCGUAGGCGGUUUGUCGCGUCUGCUGUGAAAACUCAGGGCUUAACCCUGAGCCUGCAGUGGGUACGGGCAGACUAGAGUGUGGUGGGGGAGAUCGGAAUUCCUGGUGUAGCGGUGGAAUGCGCAGAUAUCAGGAGGAACACCGGUGGCGAAGGCGGAUCUCUGGGCCAUAACUGACGCUGAGGAGCGAAAGCAUGGGGAGCGAACAGG
rnacentral:rRNA from 1 species